rnacentral:rRNA from 1 species
UACGUAGGGUGCGAGCGUUGUCCGGAAUUACUGGGCGUAAAGAGCUCGUAGGUGGUUUGUCGCGUUGUUCGUGAAAACUCACAGCUCAACUGUGGGCGUGCGGGCGAUACGGGCAGACUGGAGUACUGCAGGGGAGACUGGAAUUCCUGGUGUAGCGGUGGAAUGCGCAGAUAUCAGGAGGAACACCGGUGGCGAAGGCGGGUCUCUGGGCCGGUACUGACGCUGGAGGAGCGGAAAGCGUGGGUAGCAAACAGG